GCGAAAUUACAACUCAGAUGCACCUUAUUUCAAAGUUGUGUAUAUGUUAAUCUACCUCAAAAGCAUAAAGAGUUUAAGGCUUGAGUUAUCCAGAAACCAAUCAUCAUUAUGUCUUUACAAUUACGGUUACUUGUCUAAAUGAAAGAGAAGUAAACAAAGUGAAAAAAGGUAAAAAAAAUAUAUCAAGCGUUGUAACACAAACAAUCACGAAAGCUCAAGAAGAAGCUCCUUUCUUUGGCUUCGCUGCAGAGUAUAUAUAAAAAGGUGAGAAGAAAAAGAUCAAAGAAGAUGGUGAAAAUCAGGAUUACAUACACCCACUGAAGUGGAUAACAGGCUCUAUCUGUGUAUAGUGGUCGGAGGUAAUGAUGGUGGAACAUAGGAAGAGGAGAAGAUGACGACGCUAGAGAUGACCUAGAUGCUGGAUAGAUUUUAAUAUUAAUCCAAUGAUUAAGGUUUGUUUAAUGUAAAUAUAUCGGUCAUCAAAUAAAUAUAUAUAAA
rnacentral:lncRNA from 1 species